rnacentral:rRNA from 1 species
AUACGAAGGUCCCGAGCGUUAUUCGGAAUCACUGGGCGUAAAGGGAGCGUAGGCUGUAGGGUAAGUCAGAUGUGAAAUCUCAGAGCUCAACUCUGAAACUGCAUCCGAUACUGCCGUACUAGAGUAAUGGAGGGGUAACUGGAAUUCUCGGUGUAGCAGUGAAAUGCGUAGAUAUCGAGAGGAAGACCAACGGCGAAGGCAGGUUACUGGACAUUUACUGACGCUGAGGCUCGAAGGCUAGGGUAGCGAAAGGGAUUAGAUACCCCAGUAGUCC